GACGAACGCUGGCGGCGUGCUUAACACAUGCAAGUCGAACGGUGACGAGGAGCUUGCUCCUCCGAUCAGUGGCGAACGGGUGAGUAACACGUGAGUAACCUGCCCCAGACUCUGGAAUAACAGUUGGAAACAGCUGCUAAUACCGGAUACGAGACGGAGAGGCAUCUCUACCGUCUGGAAAGUUUUUCGGCUGGGAUGGACUCGCGGCCUAUCAGCUUGUUGGUGAGGUAAUGGCUCACCAAGGCGACGACGGGUAGCCGGCCUGAGAGGGCGACCGGCCACACUGGGACUGAGACACGGCCCAGACUCCUACGGGAGGCAGCAGUGGGGAAUAUUGCACAAUGGGCGAAAGCCUGAUGCAGCAACGCCGCGUGAGGGAUGACGGCC
rnacentral:rRNA from 1 species